GUCGUAAACCUUCUUCCACCACAUGGCUGUGCUAGAGUUUCUGAGCCUAGCCUGGCUCAAAAGGCUCCCCAGUUCAUGGAUUGUUCAUUUCUCAACUAAACUCCUUUAAAUUUAAUUCAGCUGAAGUUUUGCUUUCAUCAGAUGGGGUCAGAAACAGGAUCUGAAGUAGAGCUUCUUCUAAUGACCCCCAGGGGUGCUGAGUGAUCAAGCAAGGUACCUGCAGGACCCAUUUGUGUCCAUUGAUCUCUUGGAGCAGCUGGGGAUCAUGAGAUGGAGUUUCGUUCUUGUUGCCCAGGCUGUAGUGCAAUGGCGUGAUCUCGGCUCACAGCAACCUCCGCCUCCCGGGUUCAAACAAUUCUCCUACCUCAGCCUCCUGAGUAGCUGGGAUUACAGGCAUGCGCCACCACACUCGGCUAAUUUUGCAUUCUUAUUAGAGAGGGGGUUUCACCAUAUUGGCCAGGCUGAUCUUGAACUCCUGACCUUGUGAUCCACCCGCCUUGGCCUCUCAAAGUGCUGGGAUUACAGGCGUGAGCCACUGCGCCCAGCUGAUAUGCAGAAGAGUUUAAAAAGAUUUCCAUAUUUUUAUUUAAAGCCUUUACAAAAGGCAAAUAAAAAGCUUAGGCAACUAAUUGAUUAAAAAAAAUUAAAUCUGCCUUGUACUCUUUGCUGACAGCUAUGAGUGACAGGAUUAGGCACGUACAGGACCUUAGAACCUGGGGAAACUUUUCCCCCCAAAGGUGAAAUUUAAGGGCUGAUGGGACAGCUGGAAAAGGUCCCUUUGUGACCAAAAAGUGACCACUUGAACUUUUGAUUCAGUAUCACUGCAAUGGGUGGGUGAUAUGGCUUUGUUGUGUCCCCAACUAAAUCUCAUCUUGAAUUGUAGCUCCCAUAAUUCCCAUGUGUUGUGGGAGGGACCUAGUGGGAGAGAAUUAAAUCAUGGUGGCGGUUUCCCCCAUACUGUUCUCAUGGUAGUGAGUAAGUCUCACGAGAUUUGAUGGUUUUUAUAAGGGGAAAUCCCUUUUGCUUGGUUUUCAUUCUCUCGUCUGCUGCCAUGUAAGACGUGCCUUUUGCCUUUCACCAUAACUGUGAGGCCUCCCCCACCACGUGGAACUGUGAGACCAUCAAACCUCUUUUUCUUUAUAAAUUACCCAGUCCUGGGUGUGUCUUUAUCAGCAGUGUGAAAAUGGACAAAUACAGUAAAUUAGUACCAGUAGAGUGGACCACUGCUGUAAAGAUACCCAAAAAGAUAUUCAAGCUCUAACAGCCUGGGACUCCUUGGGUAAAACAGGAGGCACCACAGAGCCUGUUUUGGGAAAAACCUCUGUUUUUCUCAUGAAACCCCAGGAAUUGGAAGCAGUUAGAGCCCUCUCAAAAUCUAAGGCUCUGUUCUUUUCUGCAUUGCAUUAUCUGAUAUUUUUGAGUUUUGGGGGUACCAGAAGUUACUUCACAUUAUGAGAGAAAUUUAGUGUGUAAUAGCUAGGUAGGAAAUACAGUUUUGGGGAUAGCUAAUGGCAAUUAUGGGGGAAUUCUCAGCUCUUUGCAUGUUCGGAUCAGAGAAGCAUGCUCUUGGCCACCUAGAAAGCAUGGAAAUGAGCCGGGCGUGGUUCCUCAUACCUGUAAUCCCAGCACUUUGAGGGGGUCAAGGCAGGUGGAUCACAAGGUCAGGAGUUUGAGACCAGCCUGGCCAAUGUGGUGAAACUUCAUCUCUACUAGAAAUACAAAAAUUAGCUGGGCGUGGUGGCACAUGCCUGUAGUGCCAGCUACUCAGGAGGCUGAGGCAGAAGAAUCGCUUGAACCCAGAAGGUGGAGGUUGCAGUGAGCUGAGAUCAUGCCACUGCACUCCAGCCUGGGUGAUGGUGUGAGACUCCUUCUCAAAAAAAAAAAAAAAAAAAGUAUGGAAAUGUCACCCACACCCCCUGACUGAGAGACAAGACUCCCAUGGAUGAUGGGCUAGUCACAGAAUGGGCUGGUUAGCUUUGGAUUGCUUUGCAAUUAAAUGCAUGGUAAAAUCA